GAUGAACGCUGGCUACAGGCUUAACACAUGCAAGUCGAGGGGAAACGACGGGGAAGCUUGCUUCCCCGGGCGUCGACCGGCGCACGGGUGAGUAACGCGUAUCCAACCUGCCUCUGACUGAGGGAUAACCCGUCGAAAGUCGGCCUAAUACCUCAUGGCAUCGUCUGCGGGCAUCCAACGACGAUUAAAGAUUUCAUCGGUCAGGGAUGGGGAUGCGUCUGACUAGUUAGUUGGCGGGGUAACGGCCCACCAAGGCGACGAUCAGUAGGGGUUCUGAGAGGAAGGUCCCCCACAUUGGAACUGAGACACGGUCCAAACUCCUACGGGAGGCAGCAGUGAGGAAUAUUGGUCAAUGGGCGAGAGCCUGAACCAGCCAAGUAGCGUGCAGGAAGACGGCCCUAUGGGUUGUAAACUGCUUUUAUGCGGGGAUAAAGUGAGGGACGUGUCCUUCAUUGCAGGUACCGCAUGAAUAAGGACCGGCUAAUUCCGUGCCAGCAGCCGCGGUAAUACGGAAGGUCCGGGCGUUAUCCGGAUUUAUUGGGUUUAAAGGGAGCGUAGGCCGUGGAUUAAGCGUGUUGUGAAAUGCAGGUGCUCAACGUCUGCACUGCAGCGCGAACUGGUUCACUUGAGUGUGCACAACGCAGGCGGAAUUCGUCGUGUAGCGGUGAAAUGCUUAGAUAUGACGAAGAACUCCGAUUGCGAAGGCAGCUUGCGGGAGCACAACUGACGCUGAAGCUCGAAAGUGCGGGUAUCGAACAGG
rnacentral:rRNA from 1 species